AUGUCUAGCGCUAAACCUAGCGAGAUUGAUCCAUUUGACGCUGUCUACUCAAACAUUCCAGACCGCACUCACAUCCUGAAACUUGACGAAGAUUGCAAACACUGCAAUGCCAGGAAGUUUGAGUCUGAGACUGAUGGCUUCUGCUGUCGCAAUGGCCAGAUCCAGCUUAAGCAGCCGGAACCAAUCCCAGAGCUUAUGAGGCUAUGGUCCAGCAUGGAUGCAGAUUCUAAACAUUUUCGGGAUAACAUACGGUUCUUCAACGGGCAUUUCGCCUUCAUAACCCUUGGCGUCAGCCUAGAUGAAAACUACACGAACAUGAAGUCUGGGGUGUACACAUUCCGAGCA
rnacentral:rRNA from 1 species